rnacentral:tRNA from 1 species
GUGGGUAUAGUUCAGUGGUAGAGCACACACUUAGCAGGUAUGAGGUCCUGGGUUUGAUCCCCAAUAUCUCCA